rnacentral:lncRNA from 1 species
CUGGAUCGAAGCUUCUUCUUGUACAAGACGGCUGAGAUAGCCAUACUUGUUUCAGCCGUUCACCCGGACCAACUGGCUCGCUUAUCCGGUAACGCUAAGGAGGCCAUCCCUAUCGAUGUUUACAGAGAUUUUAGUAAGACCGCCCUGAAGGCGAUAGCCAUCGGCAUGCCCCCCUCUUCCAAGAUGGGUCUGAUGAUAUCGGAAAUAGCUUUCAAGUCAGCGGUGAACAUGAAUUUAGACGCCGAUGCGGCGAUGUUCCUGCAGGCGGUGGACGCCAGGAACAUCCCGACCUCCAACAUCAUCCAGCAGCUCGAGUACAUGAAGGACGCCUUCCCUACACGC